AUGACACACAAACCCACUUCACCACCCUAUAUAAAAACCCUAAAGCUAUACUAUAAGACAAAACCUUGUGAAGCCAAAGAUAUAUAUGUGGAAGAAGCUGACUGAGGGCAGAGAACGAAAAUGGAGCAAAUAUCAGAGACAAAGGUGUUGGCUUUGCAAGGUGUCACGCAAGGCAUGUUUGAGUUGAACAAGGCCACUUCAAGUUUGUGA
rnacentral:lncRNA from 1 species